rnacentral:rRNA from 1 species
CCCAGACUCCUACGGGAGGCAGCAGUGGGGAAUAUUGCACAAUGGGGGGAACCCUGAUGCAGCGACGCCGCGUGGGUGAAGGAGCACCUCGGUGCGUAAAGCCCUCUCGGCAGGGAAGAAACAGACGGUACCUGACUAAGAAGCCCCGGCUAACUACGUGCCAGCAGCCGCGGUAAUACGUAGGGGGCAAGCGUUAUCCGGAUUUACUGGGCGUAAAGGGAGCGCAGGCGGCGCGCCAAGUCUGAUGUGAAACCCCGGGGCUCAACCCCGGGCAUGCAUUGGAAACUGGCGGGCUGGAGUUGGAGAGAAGUACGCGGAAUGCGCGGUGUAGCGGUGAAAUGCUUAGAUAUCGCGCAGAACCCCGAUUGCGAAGGCAGCGUACCGGCUCCACACUGACGCUGAGGCACGAAAGCGUGGGUAUCGAACAGGAUUAGAUACCCCUGUAA